GGUAGCUCAAGGGUAGAGCACGGCAGUUCCGUUGUAGGUCGCAGGUUCGACUCCUGCUCCUGA
rnacentral:tRNA from 1 species